rnacentral:rRNA from 1 species
AUUGAACGCUGGCGGCAUGCCUUACACAUGCAAGUCGAACGGCAGCACGAUCUAGCUUGCUAGAUUGAUGUCGAGUGGCGCACGGGUGAGUAAUACAUCGGAACGUGUCCUGUUGUGGGGGAUAACUAGUCGAAAGAUUAGCGAAUAUAGCAUACGACCCGUGGGUGUAAGAGGGGGACCGCUUGGCCUCAUGCUCUAGUGGCGGCCCAUGUCUGAUUUGAUAGUUGGUGAGGUAAAGGCUCACCAAGGCGCCGACCAGUAGCUGGCCUGAGAGAGCGAUAGGCACAAUUGGAACUGGGAAACGGCCCAAAUUCCAACGGGAGGCAGCAGUGGGAAAUUUUGAAAAAUGGGCGAAAGCCUGAUCCAGCAAUGCGGCGUGGGUAAAGAGGCCCUUCGGGUUGUAAAGCACUUUUGUGCGAAAAGAAAUGGCUCUGGUUAAUCCCUGGGGUCGAUGAGGGUACCGGAAGAUUAAGGACCGGCUAACUACGU